UCAAAAGCUCAACAGCUCAACAGCUGGGGGUGACGUGUAGCUGGCUAUACAGCUGGAGCUGUUGGUACCUUUAUUUCUAAUCCAGCUGACAAUAUUGUUACAUCUCUUUAUAACAAAAAGGCUGAUAAUGUGGUGCAGGCUGUGAAGAAUAUUGGGCUUGUGAAUUUGUUUACAAGAAGUUUACCUAUCAGGAUCACAUUUGUGGGACCAGUUGUAACUUUGAGAUGGUUAUUCUAUGACACCAUUAAAGUAUUAACCAGACUGUAAGUUCAUCUCUCUUUCUUGUUUUAAUGAAAUAUCUCAUAGCCUCAUUCGUUA